rnacentral:hammerhead_ribozyme from 1 species
AUCCAGCUGAUGUGUCCCAAAUAAGACGAAACGUACACCCUGGAU